CACAUCUGGCACAUGGUCCCAUUUGGCCAUUUCAGUGAUUCGACUGAUUUCACCAAAACACCAACAGACUGAAUGGAGAAUCACCAACCUUUCUCUGGGCCUGUCUGACUGCUAUUGUGUUUGAUGGAGACAAGCAAUGGGAAAAGAGCAAGAGUGACUGCACUGACUCGGAAUAUUGAGAGAGAGCUUAAAGAAGAGGAAGGUGUAACGUUUGACCUGAAAUCAGUACUCCAUUCUGUUGCCUGAAGACUAGUUUCCUCGGCAGAAGAGGAUAAAAGCGUAUUUGGGACACUUACUGCUUGAAGACUUGGUAUAUUCCAGUAUUUCUAUUAAAAUGAAUACUGAUUGAAAACUUGUCAGAGUAGUAUCGAAAUAUGUCCUUGCUGUACGAUGGAAUCCUUCUACUAGUUGUGUCACUGUCACAUGACCAGCAGAACCAAAAUACAUCAGUCAUUGAUCAUUAAGAAUUUGACAAUCCCCUGAUGUCAAGGUACUAAUGUUAAUUAAAGUGCUAGUUGAAAGUGACAAGAAAUUUUCUUCAGAAGUACAUAUUACAUGAUCUCUCUCUACACUGUUUGUUACUCAAUGCGUCAAAGACACUGUUGAGAUACAGUUUGUGUAAUUUUGAAUUUAUUGGGCGAAGCCCUUACUUACAAGAACUUGAACGUACGUCUGGGCGUGACUGGGAGGUGCGGUCUGGAGGCGGAGCCCCUCAAUGUUUUACAUUCUUUCUAGUAUUAUUAUUGUUAAGUUGUAUACUCUCCUAGUCAUAUCCUCUAAAUAGGGUGAUUAAAUAUGAUUGGUUCAAGUCAUAGAGCCCCUCCCCUAGUCAUGAAGCCUUUUUGCUUUUAAUUACUGAGUUUUGUGAUAACAUUCAUCCAAGAGUUCAUGAAAAAGCAAUGAACGCACUAGUACAUUUACUAAGUGUUGCUAAUUUUACACUGUUGUAGAAAAGUCUUGUCUGACGAUUGGAUACCUUCAAGAGGUGAGCUUGCAAUGCAUUUACAUAUAACAUACA